rnacentral:rRNA from 1 species
GGAUUAAGAGCUUGCUCUUAUGAAGUUAGCGGCGGACGGGUGAGUAACACGUGGGUAACCUACCCAUAAGACUGGGAUAACUCCGGGAAACCGGGGCUAAUACCGGAUAAUAUUUUGAACUGCAUAGUUCGAAAUUGAAAGGCGGCUUCGGCUGUCACUUAUGGAUGGACCCGCGUCGCAUUAGCUAGUUGGUGAGGUAACGGCUCACCAAGGCGACGAUGCGUAGCCGACCUGAGAGGGUGAUCGGCCACACUGGGACUGAGACACGGCCCAGACUCCUACGGGAGGCAGCAGUAGGGAAUCUUCCGCAAUGGACGAAAGUCUGACGGAGCAACGCCGCGUGAGUGAUGAAGGCUUUCGGGUCGUAAAACUCUGUUGUUAGGGAAGAACAAGUGCUAGUUGAAUAAGCUGGCACCUUGACGGUACCUAACCAGAAAGCCACGGCUAACUACGUGCCAGCAGCCGCGGUAAUACGUAGGUGGCAAGCGUUAUCCGGAAUUAUUGGGCGUAAAGCGCGCGCAGGUGGUUUCUUAAGUCUGAUGUGAAAGCCCACGGCUCAACCGUGGAGGGUCAUUGGAAACUGGGAGACUUGAGUGCAGAAGAGGAAAGUGGAAUUCCAUGUGUAGCGGUGAAAUGCGUAGAGAUAUGGAGGAACACCAGUGGCGAAGGCGACUUUCUGGUCUGUAACUGACACUGAGGCGC